rnacentral:rRNA from 1 species
GCCUGCAGCCACACCACUUCGGGCUGUGAUCGGCUCAACUUUCAUAUGCUAAACAGGAGCAGGCUUAGUCAGUCCUUGGAUGGGAGGCCACAGAGGAAAACCCAGAUGUUGCAGGUU